CAGCAGCCACGGUAAAACGAAGGGGGCUAGCGUUGCUCGGAAUGACUGGGCGUAAAGGGCGCGUAGGCGGCGAUCAAAGUCAGGCGUGAAAUUCCUGGGCUCAACCUGGGGGCUGCGCUUGAUACUUGGUUGCUUGAGUGGGGAAGAGGGUCGUGGAAUCCCCAGUGUAGAAGUGAAAUUCGUAGAUAUUGGGAAGAACACCGGUGGCGAAGGCGGCGACCUGGUCCUUGACUGACGCUGAGGCGCGAAAGCGUGGGGAGCAAACAGGAUUAGAUACCCCCGUAGUCCCUGUCUCUUAUAC
rnacentral:rRNA from 1 species